UCAAAUCGUGAAAAUCUUCUAUUACCAGGCUCCGGUCACAGUAUGUUUGUUCUAAAAGGAAGUCACCAGCAUUUUAACCCUUGAGACCCACGGACAGCCACACAGCUGUUAUCAGAAGAAAAGGAUUGGGUAGCACAUACUUCAGAGUGUCAGUGUGCUAUUGGAGUAAAACUUUACAUUUUUCCUGAGCUGGCUUAUUCUGAUAUUCUGAAAUCAUAAAAGAUGGAACAUAAGGUGACUUUGCCAACUACCAAUUUCUAUAUACUCAGGAAGGAAGUGAGCAGAAACAUCCUGCUGAGAAAACCUGGAGCUAACACAUGAUCUAUUUCAAAUAGAUCUGUGACACGCUUUUGAUAGAGAGGACUCUUGAACUUACCAUAGCCACACCAGCCUUCAGCAACCACCACUCUGAUCAGUCAGCAGCCGUCAACAUUGAGGCAAGACCUUCCACCAACAAAAAAGUUCCAACCUGGAAUUUUUUUUAGCAAUAAGAGAACUCACUAGAACUGGACGCAUUGAUAACUCAAGAACAUCCUCAAGUAGAAUUUGUUACUUGUAAGUUAGGAAUAUAUUAGGCUCCAAAUACCGACAACAAAACCUUGGAUCAUCGCAGUUUAAAAGGGAGGAUCAUUCACUUACUUACGUCCGUCCAUACUCUCAAAGAUGAAGAUAUAUUCUCUUCACUUCUGCACUAUGCUGUGGAGGCACCAUGUUGCUUCACAUCCACAAGAGAGCUGAAAAAGGAAAGAAGAGCUAUGACCCCCACGUGUAACAUAUCAAAGUGUAAUUGCUUUGGUUUAUUUGUUGAGAUUCCAUGAAUGUUUUAUUUGAUAAAAUAUGAUAGAAAAUUGUUUUAAGAAACCCUAGGCAAAAAGCUUUCUUAGAUCUUUUCCAUCAACAACAUCUUCAAUAGGCUAUGCUUUAGUAUAUUAAUUAGAGGAAAAACAAAGUUGUAUCUCUCUCACAAAUAUAAAGCUUUAGCUUAUUCUAAUUUUGUUUGACAAGAAAUCAUCCCAGGAAACAAUAGAACUGUAUCAUAUGUCAUUUGUACAUGACUUCACUUAUUUUUAGAAAUUUAUUGUUACAAGUGUCAGUGGAUUCUGAGGUAAAUUUUAUAAUUGCAAUAGAAUGUAAGAUUAAUUUCCAUACCUAGAGGAGAGAAAGAAAUAUCCAAAGGAAUAGAGUUGAUUCCACAAAACAUAGGUAAAAUGGUUAAGAUGUCCAAGGCUUCAUAGAUAUGUAAUUAUAUAAUACAUGUGCCAAGAAUGGAAAAAAUAUAUUCAUACAUAAGACUAGAACCCAUAAAAUUAGCAAAAUAUCUAAUAUAACACAAAAUAUAAGAAUGAGAGAACUUAGAUUGGGAGCAAAUAAAGACAUACUUUAUGCAAAUAGGUAGAAAAUUAAGUCAAAAUGAAAGUCUUUAAGCACUGAAAUAUUAUAGAAGUGAUAGAAGUCCAAACUCUCCAUAAGCUUAUAAUAGACCUGUAACAGACAACAAAGGGAUUUUUUUUUUACAUUACUCUAAAAAUGUUAAUUCAUAGUGUAUGUUGUUAGUUACUGGUCUCUUCUAGAAAAAUUCCUUUGUACUAUUGUCUCCCACUCUAAAAAGCCUAUUGUGGUUAAGAGACACAAGACUGACCCAAAGAAAUGUUUUCAAAAUUCUAGAGAAUUCAAACACAUUUAAAGCUCUCACUGUGUACCAUUCUCCAUGCUGAGUAGAGAAAAACAUACAAAAACUAUACCAGGUAUAGUACAUACCAUUGUGAAUCCUUACAAUUAAGUUAGAAAAUUAAAAUAUAGAAAUAUAAAUGGAAAUACCCUUCAAGAUAUUGCUCUACAAUCUGAAAUACUGGAUGCACUCAAUGAAUGUGAGUUCUUAAUUUUCACCAUGUAACAAUAUUAUCCCAAUUUUUCAGACUGCUUGGGUUUGGGGAGUUACUUACAUAGUGUUACACCACAAAUAAGCAGUGUCAGUGUUUAGACAGUAUCUGUUUUUCUUCACUUAUUGAGAUGAUCAUGUUCUAAACUAUUGUACCAUAAUAUAUCUUAAAUAAUAAAGUUAUUUUAGAUCUUUCUGUUCAUCAAGCUUCUCCCCACCCCCCCACCCCAGCCA